GUCCACGGCCAUGCCACCCUGAACAAGCCCGAUCCCGUCUGAUUUCGAAAGCUAAGAAGGGUCGAGCCUGGUUAGUACUUAGAUGGGAGAUCACCUAAGAAGACCAGGUGCUGUAGGCG
rnacentral:rRNA from 1 species